rnacentral:lncRNA from 1 species
CCCCCGCGCCCGGCACGCGGCCCGGUUCGUUUCCCGAGCCGUUUCCGGGACAACAAUGAAAGGACAAUGAAAGCCAUUGGCUGGCAUCCACUCAAAGGACCUGCCCACCGCCGCCACCUCUUUAGUGGCAGAGGGGAGUUCUGAAGGGCGACCCUAAAGAUGGAGAGCAGGAGAUGAAGACUCACCACCCCCUCAACAUCAAACCCCCGCUAACGAAACCGGAAUCCUCCUCGGCCUGGGCAUCCCGCCCCUGCUCGGUGCCCCGCUUCUCUUCCCCCCUGUGCUCCCCCGUUAGGGUCUGGUAGCCGAGACAGCUGGAUGUCCAGCGCCAGACCCUUCCCCCCAGAAACCUGGCCCCUGUUUUACAAGGCAAUCAAGAGGCCUGUCCUUACAAGACCCAGAACUAUUGAAGAUGACUCCAUUUUCUCCACAGUGGAAGAAGAAGGAAAAAAGUCAAACAUUCAUCUAUUGAUGAUAGUACCAACAAAAUCCUGGGGACCAUCGUCCAUAAAGCCCAAAUGGUCAGAACCAGUCUUCCCUGUUGCACCGGAUCCUGAAGAAGGACCAACAGAAGAGGUGGAACCCAAGGCCUUAAAUGAUGCUGGGCUGAUGGUGCAAGGACUCCACUGUGAAGUUGGCCCAAGCCCCAAGAAAACUCCUAAGAAUAAAACUUUUAAGGAUCCCAAAGAUGGCUCCCAAGCCCAAGGACCCACCAGAGGAAAUUAGUCAAGUCCUAGAAAUAUUUGAGAAGAACAAGGAAAGGAUUUCCUUACUGUGUGACUUUAUCUGCCAAAAACCUACUUUGUCCAUCCUUCACCAGAAGUGCCCAAGACCAACUGAGGACAGCCUCCACCAGACUGUCCAGAAAAAGACUAUGGAGGCUAAGGGCACGUGCCUUUUCCCCAAAUGUGCAGUCUGGGCAAAUGGUCCUGUUGUGAAGCCUAGUUUACAGCCACGAAAACUCCUUCAUUCCUAAGCUACUAUAUUUACAAAGCCCCUCCCCAGGACCCAAGGCCCCCCCGGACCUCUCCGUACCUCUCCGUACCUGCGCAAGCCACUUAACCACCAGGUGGCACUAACUGGCCGCUUGCUCCGAGGGAAGUGAGGAGGAGGUCCCUGAAGUCCAUGAGUGGGAGGGCCACCCUGGCCCUCCUAGGAAUCCUUUGUCCUCCCUUAGGCCCUGGUUGGGACCAGCUUUGAGGAUGGGUCCUAAAUUUUCAAGGAAUAAUAAUAAGAAUAAACAUGAGGCCCAGGCCAAUGCAAUCUGUCUCUUGAGCUUGUCCUCCUAAAACACACAAGCUAAGCAGCCCAGCUUGCUCUUGGAGCCACCAUCCCAUGGCUUGGAAAUUGUUACCCAGAAUUUGGCAGGAAUAAUGCCAAAUAUUUGUACAGGGAAUUUACAGUUUUCAAAGCACUUCCAAGCCCAUUUUCUCAUUAGAUCAUUUGAUCAUUGACUUCAUGUGGAGCAAGUUUAAUUGACCCCAUCUUAAAGAUGGGGAAACUGAGGCUCAAAGAUUAAAUAAGUUGCCCAAACUCAAUAACAAAGUGAAAAUAGAAGUAGGACCCAUGUCUCCUGACUUCUAAUAGAAGACUCUCCAAUACUGGGUGCCUCAUUUAAUAAUCCCAGGCAGAAAACCAAGUCAUAGAGUCAGAGACCUGGUUUCCAAUCCCCCUCCUAACUUUUGAGGUUUACCAUCUGUGUGAACUUGGACAAAUCACCGGAUUUCCCUAGGUCCCAGUUUCCUUACAUGGACUCUAAUGUCCUUACUAAAUUUAAAUGUAUCUCCUACCCCACCCUGCACAGUCCUGGGCAAGAUGGAUGGGAGAAACAUUCAUUUCAUUAUAGUCUGUCACAGUCCCAGAAAGCCUAUUCUUAAACUCUUCCCUCCUCUUUGGAGUCAGAGGGUCUUCACAGGCUUCUAGUUUACAAUUUAAAUGCAAAUACCCUUUGGACAGGGAUUUCCCUCCCAUCAAUAAAACCAGGGUUAAGUCAAGGAUGGAAAAGUUGGGGGGGGGGGGGCGGGGAGAAGGAGUGAGGAACUUAAGCAUAAUCAAAGCUCCAUAAGGACAUUAACAUUCAUUUUAGUCUUCAUGUCCCCAACAACUUAUUACCUAGGAGGUGCUUAUCCCUAGGAGGUGCUUAUCCAGGCUGCUUGAUUUGUUUGUUUCAAAUGUCGCUCACAUAUAUAUGGACUUUGUUUCCCUCUGAAUAAAACUCCAUAAGGGCAGUAAUUUUCUUUUUUGUCUUUGUAUCCCCAUUGCUUGG